ACGAUUUGCUGCGAGCGAAUCUAGUCGUCCACAAAUUUUUCUAAGUCCAUGUACACAGUAGAAGUGAACUGUCAAGAAAAAUGAGGUUACUUGUGUCCUUAAAGAACCUAAUAGUCAUCACAUCGCAGUAGGAUAGUGGAAUCGGACGGUGGAGCGAUUCAGAUUCGGAACAGGAGGAAGGAGAACCGGCGAUAGAAGGAAUUAUUCGAAGAGAACAUUCGUGUGAGGUGUGCCGGAAUAGUUUUACCAGGAUUAAAAUCAUUCGCACUGUUCAAGUGGUUUCCCGAAUAGGGCACUGCUGAUGCGUCACCUGAAGCACCAAUGCGAGAAUCAAGACAAGAAAAUCUGCCCGUUCUGUAAUGAAAGAUUCAUGUGGCAAACUAGCAUGAAUAAGCACGCCCAGCAAAAGCACAAACCCAAGAAGCCUUUGCUGCAGCGAUCAGAUGACGAAUCGGAAGAAAAAAGUCAUCUGUCAAAUUUGCAACAAGAGUUUUCUCCGUCGGCAGCACCUGGAUCGUCACAUGAGCAUUCACAUUCCGGAUGAGAAGAAAUUCAAGUGCACAGAGUGCAGUAAGGCGUUCAACCGAAAGGACAAUCUGCGGACACACAUGAAAAUACACUACCGCGAUCCUGCGGAUGCGAUACCGAAGCAGGACCCUGUGCAGGCGAGCUUUCUCCAAGUCUUCGAAUCUGAUGGUGCACAUGCGAAGGCACACCGGAGAGCGGCCGCACAAGUGCGAUUUUUGCGAUAAAAGUUUUCCUCGUUGCUUGGAUUUGCAGUAUCAUCACAGGACACAUACUGGUGAAAAGCCGUGUAUUUGUAAGGUUUGUGGAGCAGGUCACACAAGCUCAUUGUACACAUGAGGACUCAUACCGGAAACACCAUACAAGUGCACUUACUGCGAUCGGGAGAGGAAAUUCUCAGCAAGUCGAACCCAAAUCCGCCGGUAACGCUAAUGAAAAACACGCUUCAUUAAUUGGGCGCAACAGCAAAUACUACCACAACGUUACUCCAGUAUUCAGUAUUGUCGACGAUCAGGAUGAAGAAGACCUGCCACCAUCAUCAAUGAAGGACUCAUCAGUAUGCAGGCUGGAACACCACAAAUUUUAGAAGACUGUAUUCACUCACACAUAAAAGGUCUGGACGUAAUUCGACUCUUCAAGUGCCAGGCAGUUCCCCUAAAUAAUUAUCUUCUACUGCUAGUCACUGCUACACAUAUUAAAGUUCUGCCCGAAUUAAAGCAUAAAGCACGAAUCAUCGUCCGGCACCCAUUGCACAACUUUCGCUUCAAGGGUUAUCGUCCUCAUCGUCAUCAUAGUGGGCGUAUUUGCACCAGAGAACCUAACCUUGGGGUAUGCCAACGUUCCUUCGGAAAUAUGAUGAUAGGUGUUUGCGAAUCUAAACCAAGGGCUACUUCCUGCGAAGGCACAUCUUGUGUAACUGUUGUGAUUGAAGCUUAUAAUUUGGUAUAACACCAAUUUCAACCAGUGUAUUUUUUCGUCCGUUCAACUGUCGAAACUGGACAACAAAACUGCGCUUUCGGAGAUACAUAAGUUCACUGCCCUACAAUUGCUUGUUAGCAAAUUGUGUCAAUGCUCGGGGCAACCGCUGAUUUAUACAAAAAAAUUGCUUGAUAUAUAUCAAGGUUGGCUAACGGUGCCUACCUUCUGCAAAAUUAUAAUUAUAUAAUAUAAUACAGCACACGGCAAAUAUUUAUUAGUACCUCGAAACCUACACCUU